rnacentral:lncRNA from 1 species
AGAACCACGCCGUGGACCCGCCACGUUGCGCAUGCUCAGCCGCAGAGGACGGCGGGAGAGGGGCGGGGCCGAAGGAGCCGUUUUGCGUGGAAGAACCUGUGAGAAGCUUCGUUUGCUGAGCGUCCUGUGGGGAGAAAGUAACUCUUCACCAGUAUUUUAUUUUAGGAAUCUGGAAACUGUUCCCCAGGAAGAAACCCAUUGGUUUGGAGCUGGAGGAUUCCUUUGCAUCAGAUACUGAAAUGAAAGAACCACUGUUAGAUGGUGAAUGUGACAAGGCAAUGUCACCACAACUGGGGCAAUUAAAUGAAAUUAAGACAGAACCGGACAAUGCUCAAGUAAAUAUUUUACCUUAUAUUCUUUUUUCUAAAGCAGUGUUUAAUUAUAAAAAUGCUAAUUUAUCAGUUGAAAACUUAAAUUCUCCAAAGUAGUUGAUCAAAUAAUGUAAGGCAUAUGGUAUGAAGUGCCAAGAAAGU